rnacentral:lncRNA from 1 species
UGGGAACCUAGCCUACGGGCGCUUUCCUGUGGGGGCGGAGCGGCGUGUAGAGUCGGGGGGCGUUUCCGGGAAGUUAAAUGCCAGCUAAACUUAGAGGGUAAAGUGAGGUAAACUCAAGCGCUGCUUGAGGUUUAGUUCGGCCAGCACUUUGGCUUGUUCCUCGUGGACAGCGAGCGAUCAAAUUCGUGAAAAGAGGGAGUCCGGAAAUAGAGAGCAUGAGAAAACAUCUAAAGCAUCCAGAAAUCCUCUCCUGGACACCUUCCAAGAGGCAGCCUGAAUCAUCCUUCAGCCCCAGAGAAGGGGAAGCCAAUUUCAGGUGUUCAGAGGCUGAUCGAAGACUUGAGAUUGGCACAGCUUUUGAGGCCUGAAGGAGCUUUAGUGCUUUCAGGAAGCGAUUCUCCAGCCUGCUUCUGCUGAAAGAACCUCAGAUCUUCCCAGUGAGUAAACAUCUUGUUUUAGCUGAGACUGAGCAGAAAAAAAAAAAAAAAAAAAAAAAAAAAACCUGGGGAGAAACAAAAUUAAUUUCUUUGAACUUCUGUAAGUACAAGACAUUUUUAUGGAGUUUUAAUUGUUUUGGAUUUGAAGUGUUUGACCUUGAAAACUUUUAGCAUUUGCAUUUAGUUCAUCCUGGAAAUCUUAUUAAUAAGAAACCGUCUUCAAUAUGUGGAGCAAUGCUAUAUUGUAGGGCUUUUAUUAUGAGAGUACCUUUAUGAAACUUAUUAUUGGAAUAUCUUGUUGAUGUCAUUUAGUCUCCUUGAAGUCUUCUGAUAU